CCCCUUUCCAAAGCCACACUUCCCCAGGGGCCAAGAAGGUCUUGAGAUAUUCCGGGAUCAAUCCAUCAGCAGGACAACACUGGGAACUUCCUGUUAAACAGCCCCAUGGAUGCUCCAAGGGAAAUAUCCGAAAGCGCUGUGGCUGGCACCCAGGACCUACUCACAGAAGUGUCAGUGAUAAGAUCUUGAUUCUGAGCACAUUCGAAUUUCAAGGCCAGUAGAUCUUCCCCUUCCUUUGUUUUAUGAACACAAGUCCCCAGAAAGAAGCUACAUCUUCAAACUGAAAUCUUCUAAUUCCUGCCCCUGAGGAUGGUCUCAUCAGCCACUGUGAGAUUAGGAUGGGUUUGUCUGCCUAGAUUUCUUUGGGAUGCCAGCCCAGGGCUCAGGUAUGCUUUGCGGGGGCGAGGGUGGGGGUGGGGGCGGGGGUGGGGCGGGGGUCUUUGGGGUUAUUUCUCACUCUGCCUUUAAAACCCCCCUCCAAUGUAGUUGCUUGUCUGCUAAGAGGUUGGCUUCUAUGCUGACUUAACUCAAGUUCUCUAGCUUUUCUCUCCUCCUCCAUCCUCCUCCUCUGGACAGAUGCUAAGCAUUAUAGCUUGCCUUCCCUGGGAUUUCUCUUUUAAACUCUAAUAAAAGUAUCUUCUUUUGAAUAGGUUUUAGCCUUGCUUGACUUUCAAACUCUGCCUGACUUUAAACUCUUUGAUUCAACUGAGAAAGUGAAUCCAUUCCUGUACCUGGAGGGUAUCAGUCUCUCUGCCUCAGAGCUUGAGUCUUCAAACUAGAUGGACUCAGUAAAGAAUGUGAAUGUGCUCGGCUUCGGGCCAUGUCUCCUUCCCAAGGGAUAGUGUUGCACAUUUGCAGGACACCGGUUUCAGAGCUUUGCUGGUGUCAGUAAUGUGGAGAGGGAUCCUGACCACAUAAAAUAAUCAUGAACAUGAAUAUGAAUAAACUCUAGUAGUUCACACCCUGACCAAAUUUCUUAGGAGACCUAGGUCCCAAUCUUUUCACACAAUCCAGAACAAAACACAGCUCAUAUUGACACACACAUUUAAGUAAGUGAGAUAUUUAAUAAGUUAAAAAUAAUAGUGAAGAGGUUUUUAAAAAAUUCUUAUUUUGCUACAGCGUCUUACUAUGUUGCCCAGGAUGACACUAAACUCACAAUCCUCCUGCCUUAGCUUCCCAAGUGCUGAGAUUAUGAGCAUGCAUCACCAUGCCUCCCUAUAAAGAAAGUUUAGUGAAUUUCUGCUACAUGCUACAACAUGGGUGAUCACUGAAAACACUGUGCUCUGGGAAGGAAAGCAUCCUGGAAGGGACAAUUAUCAUAUGAACUGGUGUGAAUGCACAGAAAGCCAAAGCACAGAAGCUGGAGUCAGAUCAGUAGCUCCAGGCUGGGGAUGGUGGGAGUGGGGGUGGCUUACUAAUGGUUACAGGCUUUCAGGGCAAGCAAAAUGUUAUAAACUAGACUGUGGCUGCUGUUGCUCAGCUCUGUGAAUAUACUAAAAAGCAUGGACCUGAAUGCAGUAAGUAGGCGGAUUUUAGGAUGUAUGAAGUAUGUCUCGGGUUGGAGAGAUGGCUCAGCGGUUAAGAGCACUGACUGCUCUUCCAAAGGUCCUGAGUUCAAACCCAGCAACCACAUGGUGGCUCACAACCACCUGUAAUGAGAUCUGACGCCCUCUUCUGGUGUGUCUGAAGACAGCUACAGUGUACUUACAUAUAAUAAUAAGUAAAUCUUUUUUAAAAAAGAAAUAUAUCUCAUUGAGACCAUAAAACAAUUGGUUGGAAUGACCAACACCCAGUCUGAAAGGACAGCUGUAAAAUCCUCACAUAUUCAUGGUUCACACAAGGAGGACAGCUGCCAAAGAUCGUGAGUGUGAGCAAGCUGGAAGAAUCUUCAUUUCCCUACUUGAGAGAAUGGAUAACUGAAGCACAGAAUCACAGUCAAGACCUACAACAGAACACAACAGCUUCAACAGAUGGAUCAAAUCUACAAGUCAACAUGGUUAGAGCACAAAGUUGUCGCAUUGUGUGCUAAAAUCAUAUUGGGAGACACAGUGUAGUGAUGCAUGCCUUUAUUCCCAGCAAGGAGGAGGAAGAGGAAGAGGCAGGUGGAUCUCUAUGAGUUCAAGGCCAGCCUGAUUGUAUUAGAGAGAUUUUUUUUUCCAUUGUCAUAAAACGCCAUGACAAUAAACACCUUGGGGAGGAAAGGUUUUAUUUUGCUUAUAGUUCCAUAUCACAGCCCAUCAUCAAAGGAAAUCAGUGUGGAAACUCAAGGCAGGAACUGAAGCAGAGGUCAUUGAGGAGUGCCACAUACUGGCUUGCUCCCCAUAGCCUGCUCAACCUGCUUCCUUUCUUUCUAAGAUUGUAUUUUUAAGUAUGUGUAUGUAUGCCACACACAUGCACAUGCACACACACAUGUAUGCACGCACGUGUGCAAGAGUGCCAGGUUCCCUAGAGCUUGAUUUACAAGCACUUAUGAGCUGCUUGGCAUGAGUUCUGGGAACUUCUGGAAAAUAGCAUAUGCUCUUAGUUGCUGAGCCAUCUCUCCUGCAUUCUUAUCAUAACCAGUUCCUUUCAUUAAAAUAAGUUAUCCUAUUUUGUAUAUGAGUGUUUUGCCUGCAUCUGUUUCUGUGUACUCAGUGCCUGCAGAGGUCAGAAGAGAGUGUCAGAUUCCCUAAAACUACAAUUUCAGAAGGUUGUGAGUGGCCACAUGAGUGCUAGGAAUUGAACCCAGGUGGUCUGCAAGGGCAGACAAGGCUUGUAACCCCUGAGCCAUUUCUCUAGUCCCCCCAUU
rnacentral:lncRNA from 1 species